rnacentral:rRNA from 1 species
CCCUACCGUAAACUUUCAAUUACACACAAACUGCCUGGACACUACGAGCUAUGCUUAAAAUCCAAAGGACUUGACGGUACCCCAUAUCCCCCUAGAGGAGCCUGUCCUGUAAUCGAUACCCCCCGAUCAACCUCACCACCCCUAGCCAAUCAGCCUGUAUACCUCCGUCGCCAGUUCACCGCAUGAGCGGAUUUCCGUGAGCACAAAGGCUUCAAAGCCAACACGUCAGGUCAAGGUGCAGCAAAUGGGGUGGAAGAGAUGGGCUACACUCUCUAACUUAGAGAAUACGAAAGACACGAAUGAAACUUGGUCAGAAGGCGGAUUUAGAAGUAAAAAGAAACUAGAGAGUUCUUUUAAAACUCGGCCCUGGGGUGUGUACACACCGCCCGUCACCCUCUUCGAAAAUAUCAUUACAGUAUAUAACCCCACACACAAGUAGAGAAGAGGCAAGUCGUAACAUGGUAAGCGUACCGGAAGGUGUGCUUGGAAA